GAUUAGAACUUCGGGUGGAGAAUAAGCAGCAGGAACAGAUGAACUCUUAAUAAGUAGGAGGCUGCUAGCAUACAAAUGCAGGUGAGAAGGGGUCAGAGAAAGGGAGAAUAAGAAAAUAAGCCUUUGGUGCUUAAAAAUAUCUGUAAUGUACAUUGUGUCUCCCAAGUGGUCUUACCAACACUGUGACCUGGACUGAGGAAAAGUUAUGAGCUCAAUCUUUGAUUUUGGGCAAGAGGAGCUAAUACCUGCAGGCCUGGGCUUCCGGCAUGAGUGACAAGAUCAGGACUUUGCCUCAAUGACAGGAAGCUGUCAGUCGUGGUGUUUCAGGAUAUACUUCAAGAACAGAACACUGAGGAUAUAUAUCAACAACACUCGCUUGCUCGCUCACCAUCAGGCAACUGUAAAGAUGAAUCACACUUCAGAAGGUGCCUGUCCUUCUCAGAGUCCACUGUGGCUUCC
rnacentral:lncRNA from 1 species